rnacentral:lncRNA from 1 species
CUAACUAGCUUUUGCAGUUUACUUUUAUAGAUAUGGUGUUGUCAACUUCAUUAAUGUAAACAUAGAGCCAAUCGUUUUGGUUUGUUUCGAACUUUUCUUCUUUUCUUUUUGUGUUAACGCGUUUGAAUUUUGUCUUUCUUUAGAUAAUUUUACACUAUUUCAACUUUACAUAAACUAAUGAUUGUUUUUAACCAACGUAUUUGGUAAAUACGUAAGAAAUUGUGUGUAAUUUUCUGUAGCUACUUUGAUUUCAAAGUCAUAAUUAGUAACAGAAUGAUCAUAUUUUCAUACGCCACAUAAUAAUAAUAAUUAUUAAUCUAAUUAACAAGUAUGUUGACUAAAAAUAAAGUAAGAAUUUAACAGUUUAUAGUACAAAUGGUUUUUUAUUUUGUUUAUUAUUAUAUUUGUUUUGGUACAAAUGGUUAAAAUGCUAAAAAAAAUGGAAGUGUCUUGGAUCCUUCAACUAUCAACUCUCUCUCUCUCUCACAUAUGGGC